rnacentral:lncRNA from 1 species
UGCUGCUUUGCUGAUUGAGGACUGAAUCUUUCUGCUGCAUGAAAGAUUGUUGCAUGUAUUAUUCUCUGUGGCUUCCUGUAGUCUGAGAGAAAGGAAAGAGUUCAGAGGCAGCAAAAAUUGUGCUUCCUAACCACCCUUCUCUUUACCCUCAAGCAUUUGAUGUGCAAUAGAUCCUUAAUAAAUGAUGGAUGGUCAAUGGCUUCUCACAAUGGGACUGGAAUCCAGAAUCUGGUCUGUUUUAAGCUCCUCUCAUCACUAUCUGAAGAGAGAAGGUGGGAAUUUGCUUUCUUCUUACUUUGUGAUGUGAUCUGCUGUGACAGCUGGCAAUACCCAAAUCCUCAGGCAAUUGAAGACUUCAUUAUUCUUCCUCAUCAAUCACUCAGGGCCAGCUUUCACAUACAAGAAGUACUGGGCCUUCAUUAGACACAUACAAAGUAGAACAGAAAAAAAGAACAUUUUACAUAAAGCCAUGAAUUUUAUAAAUUUAGUUUCUUUUCCUUCUUGGUAUUGUGAAGAAGAGAUUACAACAUCAGUGAGGUUGGCAAGCAGAUGCAAGAAAUGGAAGCUUGAAGGACUGUCAAUCAAGGAGAGAAGGAAGGAAGAUUCCAAAGAAGAAUCUGGUCAGGGAGACAGUUAAGAAAGUCAGCAUCAGAAACUGGUCACUUUUCUCUUGAACUGUGGAGAAGGAACUAACAGGCUACUGCUCUGGAUUCCUGGCUAGUGGCUUAACAUUGAAAAAAUUGGAGCAUAGCUCUGAAGAUCCUUGUCAAUUUAUCAACAAUAUCCCUUCAGAGACAAAUCAGUGUUACUUCCUUGUAUUGAAUUUCAUAGUAGAUUAGGGAAACCAGAAAUACCCUCUUUCCUGUCCCAACUCUCUAACUUUCUUUCUUUAAAAUAAAUCCCUCUUAGAAAGUACUAUAGUGUGAAAU